CUCUUGUGACCACAAUGCUUUCUUAAUGUCUCUUUGCUCCUUAGAUGCCUUUUGCAAGUUAAAUUUUCCUUUCCCUUGUUCCUCUGCGUCUUUGCCUUCGUUCACCUCCUCCCUUUCUUCUUCUGACUCCUCCUCCGACUGAUCCCAUGUCUCUGUUCCCAGAGCUUUUAACAUGUGCUUAGCCUCUUCUUCUGUUUUUGCAUGCCAAUUAGAUAAGGCGACCCAACAAACUUCAGAUUUCUCCUNCGCUGACGAUUUGAAACCUCAGCUAGCUUCUCUGUCAGACUUUCUCCAAAGUGGAAAACAGUUUAAACUGAGAUAUUUUGGAUCCUGUGGAAAAGGUGAAAAAACUGCAGAAGAAUAAGUUACAGACAUGAAAGGAAAUUCAUCUGCCACAAUUCCCUUUUUGUUUAUAAUAUCAUCACAAAGACAUACAUCUUUUCCUCUGCUUGUGCUCUGCUGUCCAGUAAAGAUAAUGCAAAAUUUCAUUUAUCAACAAAUAAACUAAGCAGUCCAUUCA
rnacentral:lncRNA from 1 species